GACGAACGCUGGCGGCGUGCUUAACACAUGCAAGUCGAACGGAAAGGCCCCUUUGGGGGUACUCGAGUGGCGAACGGGUGAGUAACACGUGAGUAACCUGCCCUUGACUUCGGGAUAACUUCAGGAAACUGGAGCUAAUACCGGAUAGGAAUCCUUGCUGCAUGGUGGGGGUUGGAAAGCUUCGGCGGUUUUGGAUGGACUCGCGGCUUAUCAGCUUGUUGGUGGGGUAGUGGCUUACCAAGGCUUUGACGGGUAGCCGGCCUGAGAGGGCGACCGGCCACAUUGGGACUGAGAUACGGCCCAGACUCCUACGGGAGGCAGCAGUGGGGAAUAUUGCACAAUGGGCGGAAGCCUGAUGCAGCAACGCCGCGGGCGGGAUGACGGCCUUCGGGUUGUAAACCGCUUUCAGCAGGGGCGAAGCUUGUGGUGACGGUACCUGCAGAAGAAGCACCGGCUAACUACGUG
rnacentral:rRNA from 1 species